rnacentral:rRNA from 1 species
UUAGCUGAGAGGUGGUGCAUGGCCGUCGUCAGUCCGUACUGUGAAGCAUCCUGUUAAGUCAGGCAACGAGCCGAGACCCACGUCCACAGUUGCCAGCAUACCCUCCGGGGUGAUGGGUACACUGUGGAGACCGCCGCUGCUAAAGCGGAGGAAGGAGUGGGCAACGGUAGGUCAGUAUGCCCCGAAUCUCCCGGGCUACACGCGGGCUACAAUGGUUGGUACAAUGGGCAUCUACCCCGAAAGGGGAAGGAAAUCUCUUAAAGCCAAUCGUAGUUCGGAUUGAGGGCUGCAACUCGCCCUCAUGAAGCUGGAAUCCGUAGUAAUCGCGUUUCAACAGAACGCGGUGAAUACGUCCCUGCUCCUU